rnacentral:lncRNA from 1 species
GGCGUCCGUCGUCCGGCGUCCGUAAACUUUUACAAAAAUCUUCUCCUCUGAAACUACUGGGCCAAAUUUAACCAAACUUGGCCACAAUCAUCCUUGGGGUAUCUAGUUUUAAAAAUGUGUCCGAUGACCUGGUCAUCAAACCAAGAUGGCCGCCAUGGCUAAAAAUAGAACAGAGGGGUAAAAUGUAUAUUUUGGCUUAUAUCUUUAAAACCAAAGCAUUUAGAGCAAAUCUGACGGGGUAAAAUUGUUGAUCAGGUCAACAUCUAUCUGCACUGAAAUUUUCAGACGAAUCGGACAACCUGUUGUUGGGUUGC